CAGUUUAGCCCAGUGGGAGCUCUUUCAUUUGGUUCCUGAUAUACCCUGAUAUCCUCCAUCAAAAUGGAAGCCCAUUUGAAUUCAGGUGGUCAACACAAACAAAAUUAUGAGCAGUCUGCUGAUCAGAGACCUCAGUGACACUAAUCUAUUGCUCAGUCUGGGAGAAGAUCCAGGCCAACAUUCCACAAGUCUACCUACUACUAACAAAAGGUACACUUUCAAGUGAUUUUCUCAAUUCAGAGGAACUCAGAAAUUAAGAGGUCCCAAAGGAGCAUAGAUAGCUUGG